GACGAAUGCUGGCGGCGUGCUUAACACGUGCAAGUCGAACGGAAAGGCCCUGCUUGCAGGGUACUCGAGUGGCGAACGGGUGAGUAACACGUGGGUGAUCUGCCCUGCACUUCGGGAUAAGCCUGGGAAACUGGGUCUAAUACCGGAUAGGAGCCAUUUUUAGUGUGAUGGUUGGAAAGUUUUUUCGGUGUAGGAUGAGCUCGCGGCCUAUCAGCUUGUUGGUGGGGUAAUGGCCUACCAAGGCGGCGACGGGUAGCCGGCCUGAGAGGGUGGACGGCCACAUUGGGACUGAGAUACGGCCCAGACUCCUACGGGAGGCAGCAGUGGGGAAUAUUGCACAAUGGGCGCAAGCCUGAUGCAGCGACGCCGCGUGGGGGAUGACGGCCUUCGGGUUGUAAACUCCUUUCGCUAGGGACGAAGCUUUUGUGACGGUACCUGGAUAAGAAGCACCGGCUAACUACGUG
rnacentral:rRNA from 1 species